UUUUAGAAUUUACUGUUCACCAUGGGUGCAUAUGCACCCAGGAGCAGACCAGCACUUCCGUUAUUUCCACCCUUUUAUAUUUAUGCACCAUCCUCCACUUAUAUUACAAAUUGGUCAUGUAAAUUAAUCAGGUGCAGUGUGCUGACUUUUAUUAAUGUUGUAAUUGUAGCAAGGUACACGAUCCUGGAACUUGUUAACUGAUUCCUCAUGGUAUUUAUAUGUAGAAAUGUGGGGGCAGACCAUAAACCCCCCCUCUUUUUUGCACCUAAAGAACACCCUGCUACUGAAAUUACCAUUCUGUUGCCCUUCUGUUCGUUCUCUCCGCGUUUUCCUUUCCUUCACNN
rnacentral:lncRNA from 1 species